AACGCGAAGAACCUUACCAGGGCUUGACAUCCCACUGACCGCUUUAGAAAUAAGGCUUUCCCUUCGGGGACAGUGGUGACAGGUGGUGCAUGGUUGUCGUCAGCUCGUGUCGUGAGAUGUUCGGUUAAGUCCGAUAACGAGCGCAACCCUUUUCUCUAAUUGCUAACAUUCAGUUGAGAACCUUAGAGAUACUGCCGGUGACAAACCGGAGGAAGGUGGGGAUGACGUCAAAUCAUCAUGCCCCUUACGUCCUGGGCUACAGGCGUGCUAUAAUGGCAGAUAUAAAAAGUCGCAAUACCGUGAGGUGGAGCUAAUCUGUAAAGUCUGUCUCAGUUCGGAUUGAAGUCUGCAACUCGACUUCAUGAAGCUAGAAUUGCUAGUAAUCGUGGAUCAGAAUGCCACGGUGAAUACGUUCCCGGGUCUUGUACACACGC
rnacentral:rRNA from 1 species